CCUACGGGGGGCAGCAGUGGGGAAUUUUGGACAAUGGGGGCAACCCUGAUCCAGCAAUGCCGCGUGAGUGAAGAAGGCCUUCGGGUUGUAAAGCUCUUUUGUCAGGGAAGAAAAGGUAGUCUCUAAUACAGACUGCUCAUGACGGUACCUGAAGAAUAAGCACCGGCUAACUACGUGCCAGCAGCCGCGGUAAUACGUAGGGUGCAAGCGUUAAUCGGAAUUACUGGGCGUAAAGCGUGCGCAGGCGGUUAUAUAAGUCAGAUGUGAAAUCCCUGGGCUCAACCUAGGAACUGCAUUUGAGACUGUAUGGCUAGAGUGUGUCAGAGGGGGGUAGAAUUCCACGUGUAGCAGUGAAAUGCGUAGAUAUGUGGAGGAAUACCGAUGGCGAAGGCAGCCCCCUGGGAUAACACUGACGCUCAUGCACGAAAGCGUGGGGAGCAAACAGGAUUAGAUACCCCAGUAGUC
rnacentral:rRNA from 1 species